rnacentral:tRNA from 1 species
GGGCCCAUAGCUCAAUGGUUAGAGCCGCCGGCUCAUAACCGGUCUGUUCCUGGUUCAAGUCCAGGUGGGCCCA